rnacentral:miRNA from 1 species
GAGAUUAAGAAGAAAGAUAAGAUGGGAGGAUGGGAGGGAGGAGUAACAAAACUGAAAACAAAAACUAAAAACUGAAAUCAAUUUCAAAUUGUUUUCACUUUUGUUACUCCUCUCUUCCAUCCUCCCCUCUCAUCAUCUCUUUCAAUCUCAU